CUGGGAGUGGUAGUUCGCCGUCGCGCCGUUUUGGAUGCAGCUGCCGAGCCGCUGGGGAGUUGCGGGCUGAUCGCCGCUGUCCCGGGAGGUCUGGCUGGAAUGUGGUUUCUCGUGGGGUCAGUGCGGCAUGGGGGACGCGGCGCAGGGAGCCGGGCCCUGCUCUCGUAUCUCCGCUCCGGCCAGGAGCCGCGCGGGCUCUCCGAGCUGUGGCCUGACGGGGAACCGGACCCCCGGAUUCCGGAGGCCCAGAGCGUCCCCAGCGCAGAGGAAGAGGAGAGGCGGAAGGGGAAAGGAAUUUCCAGGAGAGAAUUGCUUAAAGGGAAACCUGAACGGAGCUUGAGUUUCUUACUGUUUGACAGCAGCUUUGGUGCAACGGGCCGAACUUCAAUCUUGGGCCUGCACCCCGGACCCCGGAUUAUUUGAAGACCAGAGAAGAUACCAAAGAGAAGACCAUUAGAAUAUGCUUUUGAGUGAGCAGCUCCAUCACUGUCAUCAUGAAAAGGCUCAGAAGGGAUGUGUCCCCAUGAUGUUUAUUUGAAGAAGGCUGUGAAUGUAAGGCUAAAGUAGAAAAGCAAAGGGAAGACACUAUAGGCAAAAUUUCAAAGAAAUGUCUUGCUCAAACCACUGGUUUUCAGCAAGUAGUAGCUGCCCAUGAAGAAAUAGCCUUUCAGGAAAAUAGGCAUAAUUUCAGUGAAUUUGAGAUUUGACCCAUUUGGGUAAAGUGUCAAAUGGAACUUAUCUCCAAUUAAAAGGCAAAGAAAUUCUAAAAAGAAAACUUGUAGUGAAUGUGGAAAACAUUUUAGUGACCAAACUUUUUUUCGUCAUCAGAGAAUUCAUACUGGUGAGAAACCUUAUAAAUGUGAUGACUGUGGAAAAGCAUUUCGCCAGAGUUCAUCUCUUACUGAACAUCAGCAAACUCAUACUGGAGAAAAAUCCUAGAAAUGUAAAGUCUGUGGAAAAGCAUUCACUGUAAAUUCAUAUCUUACUCAGCAUCAGAGAAUUCAUACUGGGACAAACCUUAUAAAUGUGAUGAAUGUGGGAAAGUCUUCAGUGACUACUCAUCAUUUAUUCAACAUCAAAGAAUUCAUAGUGGAGAGAAACCCUAUGAAUGUAUUAUUUACGGGAAGUCCUUCACUGAUAUCUCAUCACUUACACAACAUCAGAGAAUUCACACUGGAGUGAAACCCUAUAAAUGUAACGAUUGUGAGAAGGAAUUCAGACGAAGUACACACCUUAUCCGGCAUCAGAGAAAUCAUACUGGGGAAAAGCCUUAUAAAUGUAAUGAAUGUAGAAAAGCAUUCACUGCCCAGUCAGCUUUUACACAACAUCAAAGGAUUCACACUGAAGAAAAACCCUAUACGUGCUGUGAAUGUGGGAAAGGAAAGGCUUCCCUGAAAACUCCUCUCUUACUAAACAGCGAAUUCAUACUGGAGAGAAGCCCUAUGAAUGUAAUGAAUGUGGUAAAGCUUUUAGCCAGAGCACUCACCUUAUUCAACAUCAGAGAAUUCAUACUGGAGAAAAGCCCUUUAAAUGUGAUAAAUGUGGAAAAGCAUUUGGUAAUAGUUCAGUGCUGAUCAGACAUCAGCAGCUUCAUACUUUAGAGUCAUCCUAAUGACUCUAUAAUUUUGUGGACCACUUCAUCCUUUCAUGACCUACUCUGACUUUUUGAUCACAGGUCUCUUACCCAUGUCACCCACUCCUCUGCCUGAAGUCAUAAUAUCUAGGAAUAGAUAUUAUUUUAUCCUGGGAUAAAGUAGAACAUAAUAUUUCUAAUAUAAGUUCCCCAAACCAAGGCUGUUCUAAGCAGCAAUUUCAAUAGAUUAUAGCAACCUUCCUACAUCUAUCCUGGAUUUUUGUGGUUGAUACUCCAUCUCCCUGGGAAUCUCCUCCAGACCUUAAUCCAUGAUAAAAGGCUGCUUUCUGCCACCAAAGUUUCCUGAUUCAAAUGUUCUCAUCUUUCAUUUCAGGGAUUCCUCAUUAUUAAAAACAAUUAUAGGAAUCAAUAUAUUCAGCCAUAUUUCCCAGAUAUACCUGCCCAAAAUGCCACUGGUUCAUCAGUCUGAGAUUAAAUAUGAAUAACAUAAUAUAAUACAAUGUCAUGAGAAUCAUU